rnacentral:lncRNA from 1 species
UGGAUUUUAAACAGGUUUUUCAGAUAACAACAAGGAUACAUUGUCCUAAGAAAAGAUAAAGCCAAUAACAAGCUACGAACAUUUUCACUUUGGAUUUUAAACAGGCUUUUCAGAUAACAAGGAUACAUUGUCCUAAGAAAAGAUAAAGCCAAUAACAAGCUACGAACAUUUUCACUUUGGAUUUUAAACACGCUUUUCAGAUAACAACAGGGAUUACUUGCAAAGGUUCAGCCAUUUGAACGGUGAGUCCAAACUUCUCUUCCAUGUUCAUCUCUUUUGGUGAGAUCCCACCUUCAAGUUUCCAAUCAAAAGAGUUAAUAAGAGAUCCUAACAUCAGAUACAACAUUCGAUUCGCCAAAGGUAAUCCUGGGCAUAUUCGGCGUCCGGCUCCGAACGGAAUCAACCCAAAAUCCCUACCUUUGACAUCAAUUUCGGACCCCAAGAAUCUCUCUGGCAUAAAACUGUUUGGAUUUUCCCAAAUACUUGAAUCUCUACCGAUGGCCCAUGCAUUAACCAACACUUGUGAACCCUCUGGAACGUGGAAACCACAAAGGUCGGUGUCGGAGCCAGCUCUACGCGGAAGUAAUAGCGGGACUGGAGGAUGCAUUCGAAAGGUUUCUUUGAUAAUUGCUUGCAAAUAUGGUAAACUAUUUAUGUCUGAUUCCUCAAUUGGUUUCCCUUUACCGAUUACUUGAUCUAAUUCUUUCUUGACUUUAAGUAAAACAUGUGGAUUUUGAAGUACUUCUGCCAUUGCCCACUCUAAUGUAUUUGAUGUCGUAUCAGUUCCGGCGACAAAUAGAACCUGUCAUCUAACAUGAUUAAACCAAAGAACUAGCAUUCGUAAUGAAUAGAUGUCAGGAUAUCUUUUUUUCUAAAUAUUAAUGUGUAAAGAUAAGGCGAGAAGAAUAUUUUAUAACCCAAUCACGCCAAGACAGUCUGUUUCAUACAUAUCGAUACGCAAGACACUAUGAGAAAAAAAACGAACUGGAACCAGGCACGCUGUCCCCCAGAUAUAUUUUUGUGAUUUAACGAAGAAUUAGCAAAAAAAAAAAAAAAUUGGAGAUGAAAAACUCUGAUUAGCAAACAUGAAUUAUAACUGGAUCAUUUAUGAAGAGAAAAAUUAAAGGUAGAUAGAAAAAUUACCAGAAAUAAGUGUUUGAUAUGAUCUUUAUUAAGUUCUUCGAUAUCGCCUUCAAUGAUGUCGAGAAGAGUAUCCAAAACAUCAUUUGAUGCGGUAUAAUCUGGGGAUUUUCUUGAUUGCUGUCUUUCAUCCAUCAUAUUGCCGAAAAGUUUAAGCAAAUUGUCGGAAUGAACAGUCAUCCGGCGCCGUACACCUUGUGGAUCCAUCUUUCUAAGCAAAGGGAAAUAAUCAGCCAAAUUAGGCUUCCCUGCCUCUACCAUGAUACUGUUAACUGUUUUCCUGAAUACUUGCGCUCUAGCUGAAUUUGGGCCAACCAAAUCCACUGAAAACAUAGUGUUGGACAACAAAUUAAUGGUAGUAUCAAAAGCAGCUUGGCCUAUGUUAAUGGCUUCACAUUUAAGGCAACUUUCGCCAACUUUAGCAAUCAGUUGUUGAAUCUUGUGCCGACGCAGGUAUUCAUUGGCAUCGAGUUUCAGACUAGAGAAAAUAUGGGUAUUACCGACUUUGCGAAGAGUUCUCCAAAGCGGCGACACAGGUAUCCAUGGCAUCCCAAAUUCAUAGUGUUGGCUGGCUCGAAUUGCAUCCACAAUGGUUCGGUUGCAGAAUAUAAGGUCCUGUUUUUGAAGGAUCUCUUUGGCCGUUGUUUCCGAGGAGACGACGACGGUGAUUAAGCUGCCGAGUUUGAGACCCAUAACGGGGCCAUGAAUCUGAGCAAACUUAGCCAAAGACCUGUGGGGUUUAUCCCCAAGAUCGAAGAGAUUGCCGAUGAUUGGCUUAGGCCAUGGACCAGGUGGGAGCUUGCGUUGGCUUGAUUUACGUCCAUUUCUAAAUGAGUUGAAAGCCUGAAGCAGGAGCCAAGUGAAGAGCAGACAUAGCAAGGAGCUUGUUAACAAAUCCAUCUCUCCCUUAUUCGUAUCAAAGAACGGUCUCAGUUUUAAAGGGAUGUGAAUGUUAGUGAACGUUAGUCAAAACACAUUAACAAUGUUGAAUUCGUACAUGAAAACCAUUCUAGAGUGUUCCACACGUUAACAAUGUUGAAUUCAAAUCCUAUCCUAUACAUAUAUAUCUCCAAAGUAGAAUGUGCCUCGUCCAGAAUUGCUUGACUGCUAAGGGAAGGCAUGCAUGAAUAGCGGAAGUUGAAUACUAAUUUUAUUAAUCAGGAUAAAAGAAAGAUUUAGUACUUGAAUUUUCAUCUUUAAAAAUUUUUCAUCCUUAAAAUUUUUUCAUCCACUUUAAUUUUGUAACACUAACAUGUAUCAGCAAAGUAGAAAAAAAUCUUUUAAAUAUUUUGUUUACAAUUUUAUAUUCUUUUUAGGUUUAUUUUGUACGCUGUUCUUAUUUGGGUCACUUGUCGUUAAAUUGAUAACAUAAAUAAUGGCAUGACAUUUUUCUAACUGGUAUAAUAACACAUUUAAUUAUUAAUACUUAUGCAUUCUACCAAUUUGAAGCUUGUCGUUUAUGAUUUUGAUGGAAGUGACAAAAAUGACCAAACUAUAUAAUAUAGGUGCCUAAAUUAUAAACUUUUCAUUCUAAGUGCCUAAAAUAACUUCUUCUUUUUUUAUAAUUGGAUGACUAUCUACACAGUUUACCCUAUAAAAUAAAAUAUAUUGUGCUGUAUAAAUUUUAAUGUGUAUUUAUAUCAUGUUCAUAUUAUUUUAAAAUUUUAAAAUUAUUUUUUCAUAUCAUGUAAUUAUAUCGUACCUAUAAUUAUUAAAUACAAUGUUAAUUAUAACAUAUCAACAUUUUAAUUUAAAAAAUACUAAAGAUAAUAAAAAUUUAGUUGUAACUCCCCAAAAUUCUAUUUAAAAGUUUUCUAUAUGCAAUUCUGUUAGAAAGCUUAUAAUGUUAGAAAACCCAUAACUAGAGGCAUGCGCAAUGCUUGUAACGUAUCCAAGCAAAAGGAAAUUUAUUUCCUCAAUUCUCGCAUAGUCAAUGCCUUUUUGACUUUUAGACUUAUUAAUUUUAAAAUUUUCUAAUUUACUUGCAAUAAAGAGGUAGGGAUCAAAUUGAAAAUAUACAAAAAUUGAGGGUUAAAUUUAUUAUUAUAUUUUAUAUAUAAACACCAAAUUGUAAUGAAUGAGUUAUUUUGUUCACUCAUCUUACGGAUAAGGAUAAUUUACCUAUUUUCUCAAUAGAAGGGCUAUAAUGCAAUCCAAGAUAUAGUAAGGGGUUUUGUGGUACUUUUAUCAAAUUUAAUUAUUUUACAACGAUAUUUAAGAUUUUGAAUUUUGAUCCAAAAUUUAUGAGGUAAACUCACAAAUAGUUAGCUAACUAUAAACUUUUUGUAACGCCCCUAACUCGAAUCUGUCGCCAGAAUAGGGUUACGAAGCAUUACUGAAAUUUAUAAAUUAAUUAUCAAACAUUUCGUUUCAUCUAGCAUUUAUAUUUGAAACCAAUCAAAAUUAAAAUAUUAAUGAGCCAAUGUUGGCCAAAUUAACUUUUACAUGCCAUUAUAACUAGAAUCAAAUCAUCUAAAAUUAUCGAUAGAACCAAUGGAUAGUGUGAUAUAUCUUCGACAAACUUCCAACCCAAUCGAGCUUCUAAUAAUCUGUAGGGUAAAUAAAAACAAAUACGUAAGCAAUGAAUGCUUAGUAAGCUCGUAUAGUCUUUAAUCAUAUUAGUUCAUUUAAAAUAUGAAAUCUAUACAUAUCAAGGAUAACCCAAUAUUGAUACCACAAUACUCAUGAAGCUAUAUUCAUCAACUCACAAGGUGAAAUAAUCCACACUAUCACCUAAACAUAUUAUCCCAAGCUUAGUAAGAUUUUAUAUAACUUUAACUCUUCAUAAUUUUUUUUUAAUUUUCAUUUGUAUUCAUUUACUUUCCACGCUUAUUCCAUAUGCAUGUCCCACAAGUCAUAAACAUAUCAUUCAACCAUGGUUAUAAGCUAGUGCAUUUAACCAAAGCCUUUCCCAAACUAAUCACAUGAUAAGUCAUUUCAUAAGAAAUUGCUUAAUUUAAACCUUACCACUUUUUCAUGAGCACUAGCAUAUUUUCACUUAAAUACUUACCAAUUCAACUAAUAGCUUGGCACUUGCCUAAGCAUCAAACAACAACACUAGUUAGCAUACUUGCACAUAUUACAUAUAAUUUCAACUUUGAUAAACUUAUUUUCUUAACAUGUCAUACUUGAGUUAUUUACUUGUCUCCACUUACAUAAUUUUCAUAUAUCAACAUAUCAAGAUAUUGAUUUAAAUACAUAUCAUAAUACAUAUCAUUCUCUUACCAUUUCUUCAUAUUCAUAUAUAUAUAUCAUUCAAGACAACUCCCGAUAUUUUACCUUUCAGAGAACGACUUAUGGAUAUGAGUACAUCGUUUUCAAACGCCCAAAGGCUUAACAGAAGCUCAUGAGAGCUAAACAGAUAGUAAACACGAAAGUCUGCAACAAAUACUGAACCUCGAUUUACUUGGGUAAUUUUCCAUCAAUUCAUCCUUUACAUUCGUAGUGCCAUAACCCAGUUAUGGUCUUAUCAUCAGAAUGCCAUAGCCCAGCUAUGGUCUUAUCAUCAGAAUGUCAUAGCCUAGCUAUAGUCUUACAUAUAAACACUGUCAUGGUCCAACCAUGGUCUUACGCUCAUAGUGCCAUAACCCAGUUAUGGUCUUAUCUGUCAAUUCAUCCUUUGGCACAAAACGAUUGUACUCAAUUCCGUGUUCAAUCCAAACUGAAUAUUAAAUUCGAUAAUAUAUUUCCAAUAAUAAUUCAAUUCCAUGUUUUCUAUUACCCUUAUUAUUUCUCAUAUUUAUCCUGUUGAAUUUCUCGAAAAUUCGAUGAAUUUUCAGAGGUACACUUUUGGCGUACAAAUUCGGGUCUGUCAGUUCAUAUUCAUGUGUACACAUUUCCAUUUCAGAUAGCACACUCCCGCGAACCUCAUCCUUACAGCGGAAUUACCAGUCCAUGCUAAAUCCCCUGUAAUAUAAACUCAUAGAGUAUUGUCAGGAUUACUAGUCCAGGCUAAAUUCCCUGCAACAGCAAUUACUCUAAUGAGCUUGGAUCUGAAUUACCAGUCUAGGUUAAAUUCAGACCCUAAUUCAGAUUACUCGUCCGGGUUAAAUCUAUUUUCCACAUAUUCUUCGGGAGGGCUAUAUCAGGAUAGGAUCACCCAUCUAGGCUAGAUCCUUUUUACCGUCAAUUCCUUUUCAGAAAUCCAUCAAAUUUUCCUUUCAUUCAACUCGGAUUUAUUUUCCCUUUUCAUCAAGAAUAUCAAUACUUCAUCAGUUAUCAUACAAUGAACAUCCAAAUCAUAUUAACAUCAAUAAAAAUAUAUUUCAAGCAUUUAAGAAUAUAAUUUAAGUUACACGAACUUACCAGGCUAAAUUGUAAGAAUACCAAGAUAUAGGGGCAUUUUGGUAAUUUUUCAUUUCCCUCGAUUAUCUACCCGAUCUUGAUCUAAAUUAUUAUUUCAUUCGAUUUAUUAAUUUAAAUAAAAAUAAUUCAUUUCACGCAAUUUGGUCAUUUUUGACAUUUUUACAAAAUUGCCCCUAAAAUUUUAUUUUUAUUCAAUUUAGUCCAUGAGUCCAAAUCAUGCAAAUUAACCAUUAUUAAUGCAAACCCAUCCUAGCAAAAAUAUUCAUAUAUUUUCCUCCUCCUCUCCAUUCCACAUCCUUAAUGUAUAUAACAUGCUUAUGUGUAGUAUUAUCUAUAAUUCUACUAUUUACUUAUGUUCGUAUCAAAGCUGUCUAUGUGAGUCAUAGUCAAUAAAUAUUUAUAUCUUGAGUUACGGAACUCUGAAUUAAGAUCCGCUAAAUUUAUAUGAAACUAGACUCACAUAUAUUCUUACCAUAAAAUUUUCAGAAUUUAUGGUUUAGCCAAUAAGUACAGUUUAUUCUUUAAAGUCAUCCCUAUUCUGUUAUUUGACAGUUUCGAUCCUUCUUCACUAAAAAUUAAUUAUCUCCUCGUACGGGAUUCAGAUAAUGUUCCCGUUUGUUUCUAUUGAAAAUAUACUCAUUAAUAAUUUUAAACAUAUAAAUAAUAACCCAUAAAUAUUUGUAUGCAAUUUUUAAUGAUUUUCCAAAUUUAGAACAGGGAAAAACGAAAUCAUUCUAACAUUGUCUCACCAAAUUUAUUAUAUCUCAUAAUUUACAAUUUCAUUGCUUACACCGUUUUUUCUAUGAGAAACUAGACUCAAUAAUCUUUAACUCCAUAUUUUUUUCAUCUUCUAAUUUGAGUUUCACAAUUUAUGGUGAUUUUUCAAAGUUAGCCUACUGCUGUUGUCUAAAAACUAUUUUAGUGCAAGAUGUUGAUUACCAAGUUUAUAUCUCCCUUAUUCCCUUUUUCUAUAAUAUUUCCCAUCACUUUCUCUUAUUUCUCUUCACUAACAUAUCAAGAACAUAAAAUCUUAUAUAAGAAAACUCUACUGUAACAUCAUUUCCAUGCUUUUUCAAUAAUAGCAAACUUAAAAAUAUAUUGAAAUCUUACAUCUAAUAAUCUACUAACUUUCAAAAUUUCAAUAUAAAUCAAGUAGUAUUUAUCUCUAGGGUUUCAAAAACUCAAAAAUUACAAGAAAAUAACUUAAUUUAACUUACCAAUUAAACUUCGAACUUGAAAUCUUUAAUUUUCCCUUUAUCCUUCUUUCCUUUUUCUUUCCUUCCUAUUUUCGUUUGCUCUUGUUUCUUUUUUUUUUUGUUUUGUUUCUUUCCUUUCUCAUUUCCUUUAUCUUAUUUACCUAUUUAUAAAUAUCUAUUACUUAAAUAAAUAUUUGUAUUACAAAUGUAUACCUAUAUAUUAUUACAUUUGUAUACUAUUAUCACCAUACACUUGUCUUUCUUUAAUUUAUAAUAAUAAUAAAAAUAUCAUUUAAAAAUUAAAUUAAAAUAUUAAUAAACUAAUAUUUUUUAAUUAAUCUAAAAUAUCUCUAACAUCAUCAUUAUCUUCUAGAUUUCUCUCUUCUAAUUGAUCAUUUUGCGCUUUAUGAUUUUUUAAAAUUUCAUCAUUGAGUCAUUAUUUAAUUUGAUAAAAUUAUAAUUUAGUCCCUCAUAAUUCUUCACAUAUUCAAUUUGGUCCUAAUUCAUCCAUUUUCCUUAAUUUUUAGAUCAUUUCACCCUUAAAAUAUUUUCACUAUUGGUCCUUCAAUUUUUCAUAUUUACACUUUAACCCCUCAAAUUUUGAGUAUUUCCUCUUGGUCAACAAAAGUUUUCUCACUUUUGCGAUUUAACCCUUUCUUGCAUUAAUAUGUCAUAAUAUACUUCUCAAUGUUGACAUAACUCAAAAUUUCCUUUUUUGUCACUUUUUAUAUAUUUUUUAAGUUUAUUAUAUACUUUGUAUUUUUAUAUAUUUCUUUAAUUUUUUAGAGUAAGUACCAAAUUGAGAAUAUUUGUAAAUUUUGAGAGUUAAUUUUUUAAAAUUAUAACUAAAUCGAUAUAAUAUAUAAAAAUUGAGGGCUAAAUUUAGUAUUAUACUAAUUUUUUAAUAGCCAUAUCAACUUACCAUUUGUGAUUUUAACAGAGUGACUAAAAUUGCCACACUAUGUAAUAUGAGUGUUUAAAUUACAAAUUUUUUAUUUUGAAGGACUAAAAUACAUAAUUAAAAAUAUUAAAUCUUAACUGAUUGGAAAGUAGAGUAGAUGGAAUAUGAAAAUUAAGAAUAUGUUUCAUAAGUCUCAUAUUCUGAAGUGAAAUCAGUGAGAAGUGCAUGAUAUGAUAAUAUCAGCAACACCGAAAUAACAAUGAUAGAAAUAGACAAGCUUGUGAUCAUUUGUCUGAAUAAAGCCAAAAACAAGCUACGAACAUUUUCACUUGGAUUUUAAACAGGUUUUUCAGAUAAGAACAAGGAUACAUUGUCCUCAGAAAAGAUAAAGCCAAUAACAAGCUACGAAUUUUCACUUUGGAAUUUAAACAGGCUUGUCAGAUAACAACAGGGAUUGCUUGCAAAGGUUCAGCCAUUUGAACGGUGAGUCCAAACUUCUCUUCCAUGUUCAUCUCUUUUGGUGAGAUCCCACCUUCAAGUUUCCAAUCAAAAGAGUUAAUAAGAGAUCCUAACAUCAGAUACAACAUUCGAUUCGCCAAAGGUAAUCCUGGGCAUAUUCGGCGUCCGGCUCCGAACGGAAUCAACCCAAAAUCCCUACCUUUGACAUCAAUUUCGGACCCCAAGAAUCUCUCUGGCAUAAAACUGUUUGGAUUUUCCCAAAUACUUGAAUCUCUACCGAUGGCCCAUGCAUUAACCAACACUUGUGAACCCUCUGGAACGUGGAAACCACAAAGGUCGGUGUCGGAGCCAGCUCUACGCGGAAGUAAUAGCGGGACUGGAGGAUGCAUUCGAAAGGUUUCUUUGAUAAUUGCUUGCAAAUAUGGUAAACUAUUUAUGUCUGAUUCCUCAAUUGGUUUCCCUUUACCGAUUACUUGAUCUAAUUCUUUCUUGACUUUAAGUAAAACAUGUGGAUUUUGAAGUACUCCUGCCAUUGCCCACUCUAAUGUAUUUGAUGUCGUAUCAGUUCCGGCGACAAAUAGAACCUGUCAUCUAACAUGAUUAAACCAAAGAUCUAGCAUUCGUAAUGAAUAGAUGUUAGGAUAUCUUUUUUUCUAAAUAUUAAUGUGUAAAGAUAAGGCGAGAAGAAUAUUUUAUAACCCAAUCACGCCAAGACAGUCUGUUUCAUACAUAUCGAUACGCAAGACAAUAUGAGAAAAAAAACGAACUGGAACCAGGCACGCUGUCCCCCAGAUAUCUUUUUGUGAUUUAACGAAGAAUUAGCAAAAAAAGAAAAAAAGAAAAAAAGAUGGAGAUGAAAAACUCUGGUUAGCAAACAUGAAUUAUAACUGGAUCAUUUAUGAAGAGAAUAAUUAGAGGUAGAUAGAAAAAAUUACCAGAAAUAAGUGUUUGAUAUGAUCUUUAUUAAGUUCUUCGAUAUCGCCUUCAAUGAUGUCGAGAAGAGUAUCCAAAACAUCAUUUGAUGCGGUAUAAUCUGGGGAUUUUCUUGAUUGCUGUCUUUCAUCCAUCAUAUUGCCGAAAAGUUUAAGCAACUUGUCAAAAUGAACAGUCAUCCGGCGCCGUACACCUUGUGGAUCCAUCUUUCUAAGCAAAGGGAAAUAAUCAGCCAAAUUAGGCUUCCCUGCCUCUACCAUGAUACUGUAAACUGCUUUCCUGAAUUCUUGCGCUCUAGCUGAAUUUGGGUCAACCAAAUCCACUGAAAACAUAGUGUUGGACAACAAAUUAAUGGUAGUAUCAAAAGCAGCUUGGCCUAUGUUAAUGGCUUCACAUUUAAGGCAACUUUCGCCAACUUUAGCAAUCAGUUGUUGAAUCUUUUGCCGACGCAGGUAUUCAUUGGCAUCGAAUUUCAGACUAGAGAAAAUAUGGAUAUUACCGACUUUGCGAAGAGUUCUCCAAAGCGGCGACACAGGUAUCCAUGGCCUCCCAAAUUCACAGUGUUGGCUGGCUCGAAUUGCAUCCACAAUGGUUCGGUUGCAGAAUAUAAGGUCCUGUUUUUGAAGGAUCUCUUUGGCCGUUGUUUCCGAGGAGACGACGACGGUGAUUAAGCUGCCGAGUUUGAGACUCAUAACGGGGCCAUGAAUCUGAGCAAACUUAGCCAAAGACCUGUGGGGUUUAUCCCCAAGAUCGAAGAGGUUGCCGAAGAUUGGAAUUCGGCGUGGACCAGGCGGGAGCUUGCGUUGGCUUGAUUUAUUUCCAUUUUUAAUGGAGAGGAAAGCCUGAAGCAGAAACCAAGUCAAUAGCAGACCUAGCAAGGAACUUGCUAACAAAUCCAUUUCUCUCACACUCACACUCACACUCACACUCGCCAAUACAGGCUAAACUAGCUCUCAGUCGUGCGAUAUUAUAUCAUAUAUGUCGUGCACAGUGUCUGCUGUAAUAGUGUGGAUCGGAUGGGUGAGAACCACUUGCCGGUAAUUUUUAAUUUUUAAAUGCAUCAAUCUAAGGUUGAUGUCCUUUCAUUUUCGGGUUAAAUUAUUUUUUGGAUUCCAACUUCACAAAUUUUCUUAAAAUUUAAUUUUUUUCAAGUUAGACCUUAAACGUUAUAAUUGUUAUCUCAUUGAGUUUGAAUUUAUUUUUAUCCAAGUUACACUUUGAAUUUAGUAAUUGUUCUUAUAUUAGGGUUUAAUUUUUUUUUAUCUAAGUUAAGUCCUUAAAAAAUUUAAUAUGGGAAUAAUUGUGAAAUUUAAGGAUUAAUUUGGACAAAAAAGUUCAAGCUCUAAUGUGGAAAUAAUUGCCUAAUUUAAGCCCCAAUGUGUAAAUAUUUGUAAGUUUAGGGCCUAAUUUGGCAAAAAAUAUAGUUCAAGCCCCAAUGUGAGAAAAGUGGUUAAGUUCGAAAAAAUUAAUUUAAUCUUUAAGCCAUCCCUUAUUUGUUGGGAGAAAACGCAUUCAUUGCGGAUAGUGAUACAUACUAUAUAUAUUUCUCUAAUUCAUCAUUUUUGUUUUAUUUAUCAUAUCAUUUAAAUGCAAACUGUCAAGGGUUGUACCGAGCUAACGAAGAGACCAAUUAGAAACAUAUAAUUAGAGCUUAGAUAAUUUGCAAUUAAGUUUCGACUCUUCAUCUACUAAUUACAAUAUUAUUUAGCCAAUGAGUUAUUCCACUAAUAUACCACGACUAAGCUCUCCCCAUUAUAUACCAUUACGAAAGUACCUUAUCAAGUGUACAUCUAAUGACUUUGUCAUAUAUGUGUUACCCUUAUAGGAUAUCCUUAAUUUCUUUGGGUUAAAUCCAUUCACCUAAUAUGAUCAUAUUUUAUCUCAUGGUAAUCAUUAUAUCUAAUUUCAUGAAAAGGCAAUUACUAAUGUAUAGUAAUUAAAUUAUUCAUCCUAAACAAAUGACUCAUGGCCACGUUAUUCUCCCAUCUAUCAUGUAAUGCCUAUGAGACUAUAUCAUUUACCCUUUUAUUGGACUAUGAAUUCUAUUAUUGUAAAUAAAGUCAUGCCAUGCAGAAGUCUUAUAGCCUACGUACCAGCUUUCAGCUCUACUACCAAUUGUGUAACAAUUCGUUUUUAGUGGUACCGAAAAUGAUGAUUUUGAAAUUUCAUUUUCAGAUAAUGUAACACCCCUUACCUGAGACCGUUUCCGGAGUUGAGCACGAGGCAUUAGUUAGCUUAACACACUAAUUCGAAGCAUAAAAACUUGUUUUGAAAAUUAAUUUCACUAAUUACAGCAAUCUGUCCAAUCGUGCAGCAGUUACUAAAUUAAUUAUAACUCGAGCUACGAGACUCAAAAUUUAAUUCCGUAAAAUUUCCCUGAAACUACUCAUAUAUCUUCCUACCAUAAAAUUUUUAGAAUUUUUGGUUCAGCAAAUUAGUACAUUUUAUUAGUUAAAGUCUCUCCUGUUUCACCACUUGACUGUCCUGACCUCUUGCCACUAAAAAUAAAUUUCCUCACUAUAGGAUUUUCAUAUGAUGUUCUCACUUGUUUCUACAGAAAAUAGACUCAUUAAGGAAUCUAAGCAUGUAAAAUACAGCUCAAAAAUAUUUUUGUACAAUUUUUAAUGAUUUUCUAAACUCAGAACAGGGGACACCAAAAACAGAUCUGACCUUGCCUCAUUGAAAUUCACAUAUCUAAAAAUAUAAAAUUCCUUUUGUUAAACCGUUAUUUUUCCAUGAAAAUAGACUCAAUAAGCUUUCAAUCUACAUGUCAUUCACCUUCUAACUCAUAAUAUACUAUCCUAGGUGAUUUUUCAAAGUCAUGUCACUGUUGCUGCCUGAAUUCUGUUUCUUUGCAAAUUUUUACUCUUUCAUGAUUUCCAUGCAUGAUUUAUCACCUAAACAUAUAUAUUACCAAACAUAUUCAUACUUACCAUUUUAAAAGCCAAACAUUAUCACAUACUCACAUAUCGUCCUUUAGCAAUAUUAUAGAUACAAGCAUUCAAAAUGACUAAUCCCUAUAAAUCACUUAGGUAUAUACAUUACUUAGGUACAUGCUACGUUAUCAAAAGAAAUGUACAUCACUAAAAUUUCUCUGAGGUCGGGAUUACUCUGGAUGCUGGACCGAACACUGGUUUUCUACUAACCUGCGCACGGAAACAACCGUACGCUGAGCAUGGGAAUACUCAGUGGUAUUACCAUAAUUCAAAUUUAUAACAUUAAUCGAUAAAUUAUAUACAUUCAAUUUAUAUCUACAAUUAUUCAUUAAUUAUCUCAUACUUUAAAUCAACUUGAUCAUUAAUAACAUUAAGCAAUAUUUCAAUCUUAUAUUUAAUUAUACUUAUACAUUAUUUCACUAUCUCAAUUCCAUUGGAUUUUUUAACAUCUCAUUCUAAUAACUCAUUUCGAUUCAUAUUCAAGAUCAUUCAAUAAAAUUUAUAUUAUCAAAAUUAUUCAUUCACCCCUAUUAACUUGAAUCGGACUUUGGCGGAUACACGGAUCCAACCAAACACACCAGAAUGGCACCCAGUGCCUCAUCAGAUAGUUCGAAGCAAUAAAGUGACACCCAGUGUCUCAUCGGCCAAGCCGAAGUAAGUUGGUGCCCAAUACCUCAUCGAAUCUAUCCAAAGUAACAAUAUGACACCCAGUGUCUCAUCGACUCGAGGUCGAAGUAUCCCUGAACUCUUCCAAUCCUAUGGCAUGCCAACUAUAUCCGACUCAGCCCGACUAGUUAAUAGGGUUUCCGAAUCACAUUUCAAUUCAAUCACUUUCUCAUACUUUCAAUUCAAAUCAUUCCAAUUUAAUCACAAUUUGAUUCAAUACAUUUUUCUAUUUCAAAUUCACUUUCGAUCCAAUCACAAUUCAAUUCAAAUUCACUUCCCACUUUCUAAUCAAUAAACAAUUCAACACCAAUACAUAUUUCAGAUAUUCACAUAUAAUCAUACUUCGAUUCAAUUCAAACCACUUUUCAAUCAAUACACAAUUCACAUAUUCACAUAACUUCAAAUCUCAUAUCUCGAUUUCCAAUUCACAUAUCAAUUCACAAUUCACAUAUUCACACAUAAUCAUAAUUUAAUUCACUUUUAUUCAAUUUAUAUUUUAAUUCAUUUCCAAUCAAAUUCAAAUCACUAAUUAUUUUUCAAUCAAUAUGCAUUUCAAAUACUCACGUAUUUUUUUCAUUCAAUUCAAUUUGAUUCAAUCCAAAUCACUAUUAUCAUUUCUAUUGCUUACCUGAUUUUACUUAUCUGCAUGCAUUUUAAUUAAAAUAUAACAAUUAAUAAUUAAAUUCGAAUUAUGGUAAUACUAACCAAAAUUUUCUUGAAUCACUCCUUGUCCACCUUCUCCUUCCCUUUCUCGGACAAUGACUCUUGCACGAUAUUAGCUACGUAAUUAAACAAUUAAAAAAUCAUUAAUACACAAUUUCAUCAAAAUGUUUCCAUUUAUACCUAAACUUUACCUAAACUCUAAUUUAAUCCCUUAUCAAUACUAAUUUUAUUUUCCCAAUCUAAAUCCAUAUUCUCUUUAAAUUCUUACUAUAAACACAUUUUAACUCUUCAUUUUCACCAUAAAUCCCUAAUUUUGAAAUUCUCUCAAUUUAGUCCCUAUUAAUUCAAAGCCUACACUUCAUUUUACAAUUAAAUCCUUUACUAACUUCUAACUUGAAAUUAAAUCAAUCUAACCCCCAACACUUCAAUUUAUUCAACAUGAACAACAUCUAAUAAUCUACUAACUUCCAAAAUAUCAACAUAAAUCAUGAAAUAUUUUGUUCUAGAACUCUAAAAACUCAAAAUUUAUAAGAAAAAGACUUAAUUUGACUUACCAAUUAAGCUUAGAAUCACAAAACCUCAAUUUUCCCUUUUCUUUCUUUCUUUUCCUUCUUUACUGCUUUCCUUCUCUGUUUCGUUUGCCUAUUCUGUUUCUAUCCUCUUUUUCUAUCUUUUAUUUCCUUUAUUUAAUUAGUUUAAUAUAAUAACAAUAAAAUAAUAAUAUAAAAUUAUUUACUUAAAUAAUAAGUAAAUAUGUAAUAAUUACUAAUAUAUGUAUUUCAUUUUUCCACAUUUCCUCAUAUGCACUGUCAAGAAUUUUGUUUAUUUAAAAUAUAAUAAUUUAAUAUAAUUAAUAUAAUUUACAAUAUAAUAUAAUAAAAUAAUAAUAUACUUAAAAAAAAGCUAAGAUUUUUAUCAUGCAUAUGCCGACUCAACUUUAGAAAAAGGCAUAAUUGCCUAUUUGGUCCUUUUAACUUUCUUUAAUCUAUAAUUAAACUUUUAUCUCUAUUGCAAUUUAAUCCUUUUUCAUAAUUAACCUCAAUUUAGACAAAUUCACUUAAUUAAAACCUAAUUAACUACACAACUAACUUCGUAAAUAUUUAUAAAAAUAUUUACAGCUCAAUUUAUAAUAUCGAGGUCUCGAUACCUCAUUUUUCAACCCAAUUUACCUAAUAAUUUCUUUUAAAUCACUAAAUUCACUAAUUCAAAAAUAUUUCUAAAAUCAGGCUUAACUUAUAAUUAUUAAUUAAUAAAUUUUUCUAACUUUUUCAUCGGAUUUAGUGAUAUCAAAUAACUGUUCUGACACUACUGAAAAUUGGGUUGUUACAGAUAGUGAAGUUAGUAAAUAUUAUUUAAUUAAUAUUUACUAGUCUACUAUAGAGUUAUAUUAAAUUUUGGUCCAAAAAUUUUAGUAAUCAUAUGGUUAAAUAGGGUAUAAAAACUAAAUCAUAAAAACCGUAAAAGUUAAUCGUUGUUGAUUUUUAUGUUUUAAAUGGUAAAAUAAUAUUAUAGGAUGGAUCAAAAUGGAAAUUAAGCCAUAAUGCUUCACAGUGGACUGUUGGUGCUAAAUGUUUUAGAGAAAAAUAAGCUUUUUAUAAUGUUUUAGACAAGUUAUCUAAAACAUUAUAAAAAGCUGUAUCGCCGCCUCUUCCUACAAAUUGAAUUCAAGCUUCCUAAAGAGCUUAGGACCAACCGAUUGCCUAACCCUGUCAACAGCUUUCAUUGAGAAGCUGGAGCUUUGUGUGGAUGCCAAUCAACCCAAAUGGUUUUCUAUGAGCCAUUCAUUUGAAAAAUAAAAUAAAAUUAUAAAAUAUUUUUAAAACGUCUUUUUAUUGCUUGGAAUUGGAUCAAAAAUGGUUUUCUAAGAGCCAUUCACAAAAAUUAUUAAAUUAAGUCAUCUGUUAUUAAUAGGAGAAAAUAUAUUCACUGCGAAUAGUGAUCUAAUUCAUCAUUUUUAUUUUAUUCAUCAUAUUAAUUCAAAUAUAAACAGUCAAAAAUUGUACCGAAAUAGCAGAACUCUCUUUCUAUUUUUAAGGUGAAGUGAGCGAUAAGUACAAGAUUUUUUGAAUAAAUCUUUAUUUGCUAGCAAGAAUAGAAAUGAUAAAUAGAGGACAAUAUUAACAACACUAAAAUUAUAAUGAUAAAAACAUACAAAAUUUUCAUUAAAAAACAUAUAAUUUUUUAUCAGUUGUCUGAAAAUUAACAGGGGUGUCUAAAGACUAGAAAGUGUAUUUGAAUUGGAUUUUCAGACAAGAACAGGUAUUGCCCGCAAAGGUUCCGCCAUUUGAACUGUGAUGGCUAACUUCUCCUCCAUGUUUAUCUUAUUUGGUAAGAUCCCACCUUCAAGUUUCCAAUCAAAGGAGUUUAUAAGAGACCCUAACAUCAAAUGCAGCAUACGAUUCGCUAAAGGUAAUCCUGGGCAUAUUCGUCGUCCAGCGCCAAAUGGAAUCAACCCAAAAUCUCUACCUUUGACAUCAAUUUCACACCCCAAAAACCUCUCCGGCAUGAAACUAUUAGGGUUUUCCCAAAUGCUUGGAUCUCUACCAAUGGCCCACACGUUAACUAACACUUGUGAUCCCUUUGGAACUUUGAAACCACAAAGGUCCGCAUCGGAGCCAGCUCUGCGAGGGAGUAACAAUGGGACAACCGGGUGCAUUCGGAAGGUUUCUUUGAUGAUUGCUUGCAAAUAUGGUAAAUGAUUUAUGUCUGAUUCCUUGAUAGGUUUCCCUUUUUCGAUUGCUUGGUUUAGUUCUUUCUUGGCUUUAAGUAAAACUUGUGGGUUCUGAAGUAAUUCCGCCAUUGCCCACUCUAAUGUGCUUGAUGUUGUAUCCGUUCCAGCAACAAAUAAAACCUAUCAUUUGACAUGAUUAAACCAAAUAUUUAAGAUUCAUAUUGACAUGAUGUAAGUAUGUUUUUUUUGAUGUCUCGAUGCAUAAAGAUAAUACAAGAAAAAAGAAGUCGUAUAACCUAGCAAUAAUGAUGUGGAGUUGCAAUUGAUGCAUAAGAUGACAUGAGAAAAUUUUUAUAUUACCUAACCGUGUCUAGAUAUCUUUUUCGUCUUGCAUACACAUUAAUUUAUUGUGUAAGAGGAUAUAAAAAACAUCUUAUAACUUGACAACAUGGAAAAGUUGUCCUAAAUGCAUCUCCUCCACAGCAUCUACACAUCAAUGCAUGAGAUGAUUUGGAAAAAACAUCUUUAAGCACAAUGAUGUCAAGACGUAUUUUCUGGCUCACCUAUGCAUCGAUGUGUCUUAUAACCCAAGUAUGUCAAGACAUUUCUUCCAUGUUGCCUAUUCAAUGAUGCAUAAAUGAAAUGGGGAAAAUGUUUUAUACCUAGCGGCAUGAAUAAAAUAGAAAAGGUAUAGGAAGACAAAAUGAUUACCAAAAAUAAAUGCAUGACAUGAGUUUUAUUAAGCUCCUCAAUAUCGUCUUCAAUAAUAUGAAGAAGAGUAUCCAAAACAUCAUUUGAUGCUGUAUAAUCUUGGGAUUUUCUUGAUUGCAAUCUUUCAUCAAAUAUAUUUCCAAAAAGAUUAAGCAAAUUCUCGUAACGAACAGUCAUCCGACGCCUUACUCCUUGUGGAUCAAUCUUUCUAAGCAAAGGGAAAAAAUCAGCCAAAUUAGGCGUCCCUGCCUCAUCCAUCAUCCCCCUGACUGUUUUCUUGAAUUCUCGAGCAAUAGAUGAGUUUGGGUCAACCAAAUCCAUUGAAAAGACAGUGUUGGACAACAAAUUAACGGUAGUAUCAAAAGCAGCUUGGCCUAUGUUGACGGCUUCACCUUUAAGACAACUUUCGCUAACAUUAGCAAUCAGUUCCUGAAUCUUGUUCCGACGCAGGUAUUCGUUGGCGUCGAGUUUAAUACUAGCGAAAAUAUGGCUAUUACAGACUUUGCGAAGAGUUCUCCAAAGUGGGGACACAGGUAUCCAUGGCAGCCCAACUUCAUAAUGUUGGCUGGCUCUAACAGCAUCCACAAUGGUUCGGUUACAGAAUGUGAGGUCCUGUUUCUGAAGGAUCUCUUUUGCAGUUGUUUCCGAUGAAACAACGAUGGUGAGUAUGCUGCCGAGUUUAAGACUCAUAACGGGGCCAUGAAUCUGAGCAAGCUUAGCCAAUGAUCUGUGGGGUUUAUCCCCAAGAUCGAAGAGAUUGCCGAUGAUUGGCUUAGGCCAUGGACCAGGUGGGAGCUUGCGUUGGCUUGAUUUACGUCCAUUUCUAAAUGAGUUAAAAGCCUGAAGCAGGAGCCAAGUGAAGAGCAGACAUAGCA